rnacentral:tRNA from 1 species
GCACUAGUGGUAUAGUGGUAGCAUAGGUCCUUGCCAGACCAGGUGCAUGGGCGUCUGGUGCGGAACGGACCAGACCCGAGUUCGAUUCUCGGCUAGUGCA